UGUUAACCAAUAUGAGAGCAGGAAUC
rnacentral:piRNA from 1 species